GCCUGUCUUCGUGUCACCUGGCCUCUCCCGGCCGUUCGUGUACUGGCCUGACCUUGCGUGGCCUGGCCUUGCCUUGCCUCGCCUUGCCUAGCCUGCUCUGCCCUGGCCUGGUCUCUCCUCGUCUCACCUGGCCUGCCCUGCUCUGGCCUGCCCUCCGUGGCCUGGCCUGGACUUGCCUUGCCUUUCCAUGCCUCUCCCUCUCCCUCUCCCUCUCCUCUCCUUCUCCCUCUCCCUCUCCCUCUACCCUCUCCCUCUCCCUAUCCCUUUCCCUUUCUGUUUCCCUCCUUGCCUUGCCUUGCCUUGCCUUGCCUGGCCUGGCCUGGCCUUGCCUGGCCUCGCCUGGCCUGGUGUUUCCUGGCCUGGCCUUGCCUUGCCUUGCCUUCCUUCACCUGGCCUUUUCUUGUCUCGCCUGGACUCGCCUCGCCUUGCCUGGUCUGGCAUCACCUAGCCUCAUCUGACCUUUGCUUACCUCGCCUAAACUUGCCUGGCCUUUCCUCUCCAUGCCUUACCUGGACUGGCCUGGCCAUGCCUGGACUGCCUUGGCCUGUCCUGGUCUGGCCUUGACUUGCCUUGCCCCGCCUGGCUGUGCCUGGCCUGGGCUGGCCUGUCCUGACCUGGCAUGGACUGGCCUGGCCUUGCUUUGCCUUGCUGGCCUGGCCAUGCCUUGCUUUGCCUGGCCUUUCCUGACCUGGUUGGGCUGUCCUGGCCUGUCCUGGCCUCGCCUCAUCUGGUCUGGCCUUUCCUGGCCUUGCCUUGCCUUGCCUUGUGUUCCCUGGCCUUUCCUGGCCUUGCCUCUCCUGGCCUGGACUUUCAUGGCCUGGCCUUGCCUUGCCUUGCAUGGCCUUUAAUGGCCUGGCCUUGCCUUGCCUUGCGUGGCCUUGCCUUGCCUUACCUUGCCCGGACUGGCCUGGCCUUGCCUGGCCUUCGUAAGCUUGGACUGGUUUGUCAUUGCCUUGCCUUGCCUUGCUUGGCAUUGCCUUGACUUGCGUGGCCGGGCCUUGCCUUGAUUGUGUUGGUCGUGCCUAGCCUUGCAUUGCCUGGCCUGCCGUGGCCUGGCCUAUCCUUGCCAUGCCUGGCCUAAACUGCACUGAACUGGCCUGGCCUUGCCUUGCCUUGUAUGGCCUGUCAACUAUUGAUUAUGUAUUAGUUUGACCUAUAUCUAUAGCACGACUUCUUCGGACAGUGUGCAAGUUAGGUGGAACGAUCCCCCUUGCACCAGGGUGUACGCGCGUCACCAAUAGACACAUACCUGCUCUAUAUCCUUACUGGCUCUUGGGUCUGAUUUCCGCACGUCAAGAGCUGCUUGUGUCCUGGGAGGAGAGCGAGCCGUUCCCUGUGUCUGUCAGAGGAGUGAAGGUGCCAAAAUGCCGGCCCAGCUGGGCAGGUGGGUGCAGCAGGGCCCAGAACGCAGGGAGGGGAAGCCAGAAGCACUGCGUGCUGCCGGGAUUCCUCCAGCUGGGUGGCACAACGUCCCCUUCCGUGGGCACAGCCCUGCUCCUGCUCUGGGCAGAGCCAAACGGGGCCGGGCCGCUGCCCCCGUGGCACAGCAGAGCCCUUCACUCUCACGUGUCCCGUGGGUGCCGUGGCGCUGGCCAGCUCUUGCUAAAG
ensembl:lncRNA